rnacentral:rRNA from 1 species
UACAGAGGUCCCAAGCGUUGUUCGGACUCAUUGGGCGUAAAGGGUGCGUAGGGGGCUCCGUAAGUCGGGUGUGAAAUUUCGGAGCUUAACUCCGAAACUGCAUUCGAUACUGCGGUGCUUGAGGACUGGAGAGGAGACUGGAAUUCAUGGUGUAGCAGUGAAAUGCGUAGAGAUCAUGAGGAAGACCAGUGGCGAAGGCGGGUCUCUGGACAGUUACUGACACUGAGGCACGAAGGCCAGGGGAGCAAACGGG